GAGAAUGUUGGCAUGAGUAGCGAGAUGUGGGUGAGAAUCCCACAGGCCGUAAACCCAAGGUUGCCAGGGGAAGGUUCGUCCGCCCUGGGUUAGUCGGGACCUAAGCUGAGGCCGAAAGGCGUAGGUGAUGGACAACAGGUUGAUAUUCCUGUACUACCGAUAACCAUUUGAGAGAAGGGAUGACACAGUAGGAUAAGCUAAGCACACUGUUGGUUAUGUGUGCCCAAGCAUUGAGGCAGUCAAAGUAGGCAAAUCCGCUUUGAUAAUGCUGGGAUGUGAUGGGGAGCGAAAUUUAGUAGCGAAGUAGCUGAUUUCACACUGUCAAGAAAAGUCUCUAUCGAGGUUAAAGGUACCCGUACCGCAAACCGACACAGGUG
rnacentral:rRNA from 1 species